UAGAGUUUUCAAAACUCCCAAACCCAUGUGAACUUACCUAUGUUGCCUCGGUGGGAGCCUACCAGCUUACCCUGGAACGGCCUCACCGGUAGACCUUUUAACUCUUGUUAUUUUAUGUAAUCUGAGAGUCUUAUUUUAAAUAAGUCA
rnacentral:misc_RNA from 1 species